rnacentral:rRNA from 1 species
GAUGAACGCUAGCGACAGGCUUAACACAUGCAAGUCGAGGGGCAGCAGGGGAGUAGCAAUACUCCCGCUGGCGACCGGCGCACGGGUGAGUAACACGUAUGCAACCUGCCCUUGUCAGGGGGAUAAGCGGAAGAAAUUCCGUCUAAUACCGCAUAACGCUGCGGGGAGACAUCUCCCUGCAGCCAAAGAUUUAUCGGACAAGGAUGGGCAUGCGGCGCAUUAGCUUGUUGGCGGGGUAACGGCCCACCAAGGCGACGAUGCGUAGGGGUUCUGAGAGGAAGGUCCCCCACACUGGUACUGAGACACGGACCAGACUCCUACGGGAGGCAGCAGUGAGGAAUAUUGGUCAAUGGCCGGGAGGCUGAACCAGCCAAGUCGCGUGAGGGAAGACGGUCCUAUGGAUUGUAAACCUCUUUUGUCAGGGAGCAAAAACUGCCACGCGUGGCAGGAUGAGAGUACCUGAAGAAAAAGCAUCGGCUAACUCCGUGCCAGCAGCCGCGGUAAUACGGAGGAUGCGAGCGUUAUCCGGAUUUAUUGGGUUUAAAGGGUGCGUAGGCGGACAGUUAAGUCAGCGGUAAAAUUGAGAGGCUCAACCUCUUCCCGCCGUUGAAACUGAUUGUCUUGAGUGGGCGAGAAGUAUGCGGAAUGCGUGGUGUAGCGGUGAAAUGCAUAGAUAUCACGCAGAACUCCGAUUGCGAAGGCAGCAUACCGGCGCCCAACUGACGCUGAAGCACGAAAGCGUGGGUAUCGAACAGGAUUAGAUACCCUGGUAGUCCACGCAGUAAACGAUGAAUACUAAUUGUUCGGGUCGAGUGAGAUCUGAGUGAUACAGCGAAAGCGUUAAGUAUUCCACCUGGGGAGUACGCCGGCAACGGUGAAACUCAAAGGAAUUGACGGGGGCCCGCACAAGCGGAGGAACAUGUGGUUUAAUUCGAUGAUACGCGAGGAACCUUACCCGGGCUCAAACGACACAGGAAUGAUCUGAGAAAUCAGGCAGUCCUUCGGGACCUGUGUCGAGGUGCUGCAUGGUUGUCGUCAGCUCGUGCCGUGAGGUGUCGGCUUAAGUGCCAUAACGAGCGCAACCCCCAUCGACAGUUGCCAGCAGGUCAAGCUGGGCACUCUGUCGAGACUGCCGGCGCAAGCUGUGAGGAAGGCGGGGAUGACGUCAAAUCAGCACGGCCCUUACGUCCGGGGCGACACACGUGUUACAAUGGCAGGUACAGCGGGAAGCCACCUGGCGACAGGGAGCGGAACCCGAAAGCCUGUCUCAGUUCGGAUUGGAGUCUGCGACUCGACUCCAUGAAGCUGGAUUCGCUAGUAAUCGCGCAUCAGCCACGGCGCGGUGAAUACGUUCCCGGGCCU